rnacentral:rRNA from 1 species
GACGAACGCUGGCGGCGUGCCUAAUACAUGCAGGUCGAACGCUUCUUUCCUCCCGAGUGCUUGCACUCAAUUGGAAAGAGGAGUGGCGGACGGGUGAGUAACACGUGGGUAACCUACCCAUCAGAGGGGGAUAACACUUGGAAACAGGUGCUAAUACCGCAUAACAGUUUAUGCCGCAUGGCAUAAGAGUGAAAGGCGCUUUCGGGUGUCGCUGAUGGAUGGACCCGCGGUGCAUUAGCUAGUUGGUGAGGUAACGGCUCACCAAGGCCACGAUGCAUAGCCGACCUGAGAGGGUGAUCGGCCACACUGGGACUGAGACACGGCCCAGACUCCUACGGGAGGCAGCAGUAGGGAAUCUUCGGCAAUGGACGAAAGUCUGACCGAGCAACGCCGCGUGAGUGAAGAAGGUUUUCGGAUCGUAAAACUCUGUUGUUAGAGAAGAACAAGGACGUUAGUAACUGAACGUCCCCUGACGGUAUCUAACCAGAAAGCCACGGCUAACUACGUG